UACGGAGGGAGCUAGCGUUGUUCGGAAUUACUGGGCGUAAAGCGCGCGUAGGCGGCUUUGUAAGUUAGAGGUGAAAGCCCGGGGCUCAACUCCAGAACUGCCUUUGAUACUGAGGAUCUUGAGUCCGGGAGAGGUGAGUGGAACUGCGAGUGUAGAGGUGAAAUUCGUAGAUAUUCGCAAGAACACCAGUGGCGAAGGCGGCUCACUGGCCCGGUACUGACGCUGAGGCACGAAAGCGUGGGGAGCAAACAGG
rnacentral:rRNA from 1 species